rnacentral:rRNA from 1 species
UACGUAGGGUGCGAGCGUUAAUCGGAAUUACUGGGCGUAAAGCGUGCGCAGGCGGUUCGUUAAGACAGAUGUGAAAUCCCCGGGCUCAACCUGGGAACCGCAUUUGUGACUGGCGAGCUAGAGUAUGGCAGAGGGGGGUAGAAUUCCACGUGUAGCAGUGAAAUGCGUAGAGAUGUGGAGGAAUACCGAUGGCGAAGGCAGCCCCCUGGGCCAAUACUGACGCUCAUGCACGAAAGCGUGGGGAGCAAACAGG